UAUUGUUACUGUUAAAGAGCUCGUCGUUGGAUCGAAUUGAAUGUUUUGCAAUGCAAGAUGUAUGAUACUUUGUAUCUGUGUAAAGUUUAGUGUGCUUAAUGAUUUGCUAUAUGCAAUUAUGCAAUGUCACAGGAUUUAUUCUAUUUUUUAUGUACUCAUGGUUGCCUCCAAAGGAUGCUUAUAUACGAAAGAGAAAGGUGAAAUUUAAUGAUCAAAUGAAGAUGGUCCGAAGCGAAAGCGAUUAUCAAGAAAGUUUACCUCAAUAAUGAACGAAAGUAGAAUGAUCAAAGUCGAUUAGAUACCGCUGUAGUUUGUACUGUUAUCAAUGCUAUUGAGCAACUUGCAAGUAGAUGUAAUCGAAAGUGAGAAGCUAGCUGGAAACGGUGAAUGUUUUUGUUCUGGGGGGAGUACUGUCUCAAGAUUGAAACUUAAAGGUAUUGACGGAAUCGCACUACCAGAAAUGGAGAAUGCGGCUUAAUUUGACUCAACACAGAUGAACUUACUCGGGCUAGACGUUUACAUGAAAGUCCCUUUAUAGAUUAUGCUUGAUUUUAUGAGUGGUGGUGCAUGGCCGUUGUUAGUCCGUGAAGUGAUUUGUCUUGUUUAUUCCGAUAACGAACGUGGUGCUUUAUUUUUACGCGUGAGACGUUAUGUUUUAUUGUUAAAGAUACUUUUGAAAGAUGAUAAUUGAAUGUGGGAGCGUAAUAACAGGUCUGUGAUGCUCUUUGAUAUCCGAGGCUGCACGCGUGCUACUGUGCUUCAUGCAAAAGGAGCCUUAUUGCUUAAAGGNAAUAAUUUAACAAAAUGNGUUGUGAGAAAGGAAUCAGGAAUCGAAUUGGUGCUUGUGAACAUGGAAUUUCUAGUAUACUUAUGUCAAUAACAUGAACUGAAUAUGUCCCUGCGAUUUGUACACACCGCCCGUCGCUACCCAGAACUGGGUUGUAUUGAGAAAGUAAUGAAUAGUGAGUAAUGUAAUUGGUUAUGCCUGGACUGGGUAAAAGUCGUAACAAGGUACUGGUAGGUGAACCUGCUGGUGGAUCAUGAUAAAUGGAGACAUGCUUGAUGUUUCAUUAAAAAAAUGCUUGUUUUUUUGCUAUGUGUUGUCACAUUGCCAGGAAUCUGGUGGUAUUAGCGUGUGCACCGGGGGCGGUGCCACACGAUGGAUGGAUCGUGUUGUUGUUGUUGUUGUUGUUGUCGUUGUUGUUGCCGUGAUAGCUGCACUGAUUCUGAUGCUGCAUAGGGGCAGCAUUAGUGAAUGCUACAACAAGCCUAUCCUUCAAUCUGUAAAGGUCGCUUGUUUAUUGAAUAGAAAUAACUACGAAAGCAAAUGUGGAUUGCUAGUAUUGCUGAACGAGGAAGGACAAAGCAAGUGGUGGAAUGUGUGGUUUUGCGUUUUGAGCAUACAUUAUCCGAAUAUUUGAUAUCUGAUUAUAUAACGGCUUUUUGAGGUGUGCUUGAAAUUGUUGGUUCUUUACGCGUUGCAUCUGUCGCGAGUGUGUUGAGGAGGGGCAUAUCGCUGAAGCAUUAAAAGAAAGUAAUGUCUCAAGGCGAGGCGUUCUUUUUUUUUGUGUAUCAUGCGUAUCCUUUCUUCACGCACGUCGUUAUGUGCGUGCGUGCGUGCGUGCAUGCAUGAAUUCAUGUAUGUUGAGAGAUGAAAAAAGCAAACGGUGCUUGUUUACCUACUUUUCUCUUUUUUGAGAGAAAAAGAAAGAAAGACAGCAACGUAACAUGUGAGAAAUGUGUUGUUUGUUUGAGGUAGUAAUGUUUGAAAUGAUUUGGAUAUGUUGUGCAGAUAGUUGUGUUGACCUGCUUAACUUAAGCAUAUUAAUAGGCGGAGGAGUGUGAUUGAAUAAAGUCGCCGUUACUAACUGCGAGUGACAGUGGUAUGGUUGGUGUACUAAUAAAAGUUUGUGUGGUGGUUGCAUGUAAAAAAUGAGUUAAUAGUCGUACAACAACUGAAAUGGCUAUAAGAUUGGUGUAGUAAAGAGUGUUAGCCUCGUAUUGUUGUUGGAGAUAUUUGUGUUAUUUGUUGUGAAGUAUGGUUGUUUGGGAUUGCAGCUUGAG
rnacentral:sRNA from 1 species